rnacentral:rRNA from 1 species
GAAACUUAAAGGAAAGUUGACGGGGGCCCCGCGACAAGCGGCGGGAGCAUGCGGCUUAAUUCGAUGCAACGCGAAGAACCUUACCUAGGCUUGACAGUCAGAGAAAACUGGUAGAGAUAUCAGGUUCCGAAAGGAGCUCUGAAACAGGUGGUGCAUGGCUGUCGUCAGCUCGUGUCGUGAGAUGUUGGGUUAAGUCCCGCAACGAGCGCAACCCUCGUCGUAUGUUGCCAGCAUUAAGUUGGGGACUCAUACGAGACUGCCGGGGUCAACUCGGAGGAAGGUGGGGAUGACGUCAAGUCAUCAUGCCCCUUAUGCCUAGGGCUGCACGCAUGCUACAAUGGCUGGUACAAAGGGCUGCAAUACCGUGAGGUGGAGCGAAUCCCAAAAAGCCAGCCUCAGUUCGGAUUGGGGUCUGCAACUCGACCCCAUGAAGUCGGAGUCGCUAGUAAUCGCAGAUCAGCAACGCUGCGGUGAAUACGUUCCCGGGCCUU